AUUGAACGCUGGCGGCAUGCCUUACACAUGCAAGUCGAACGGCAGCACGGGAGCAAUCCUGGUGGCGAGUGGCGAACGGGUGAGUAAUAUAUCGGAACGUGCCCAGUCGUGGGGGAUAACGCAGCGAAAGCUGCGCUAAUACCGCAUACGAUCUAUGGAUGAAAGCGGGGGAUCGCAAGACCUCGCGCGAUUGGAGCGGCUGAUAUCAGAUUAGGUAGUUGGUGGGGUAAAAGCUUACCAAGCCUACGAUCUGUAGCUGGUCUGAGAGGACGACCAGCCACACUGGGACUGAGACACGGCCCAGACUCCUACGGGAGGCAGCAGUGGGGAAUUUUGGACAAUGGGCGCAAGCCUGAUCCAGCCAUGCCGCGUGCAGGAUGAAGGCCUUCGGGUUGUAAACUGCUUUUGUACGGAACGAAACGGCUCUUUCUAAUACAGGGGGCUAAUGACGGUACCGUAAGAAUAAGCACCGGCUAACUACGUGCCAGCCGCCGCCGUAACAC
rnacentral:rRNA from 1 species